UUGCAGUUAAAAAGCUCGUAGUUGGAUUUCUGCGGGGGCGGGGCGGCCGGUUGCUUAUAGCAACUCGAGCUAGCACUUCCCCUGCAUCCUGCCGCGAACCGUGCUACCAUUAGUUUGGUGGCGCCGGGGAUCGGCUCGUUUACUUUGAGAAAAAUAGAGUGUUCAAAGCAGGCCACACGCCUUGAAUAAGUUAGCAUGGAAUAAUGAUAAAGGACUUCGGUUCUAUUUUGUUGGUGUUCGGGACUGAAGUAAUGAUUGAUAGGGACAGUUGGGGCGGUCCGUAUUCCAAAGCGAGAGGUGAAAUUCUUAGACCUUCGGAAGACGAACAGCUGCGAAAGCGUUCCGCAAGGAUGUUCCCUUUGAUCAAGAACGAAAGUUGGGGGAUCGAAGACGAUCAGAUACCGUCGUAGUCUCAACUAUAAACUAUACCAGCUAGGGAUCGGCCAACGUUUAAUUACACCGACUUGGUCGGCACCUUAUGAGAAAUCAAAGCAUCUGGGUUCCGGGGGGAGUAUGGUCGCAAGGCUGAAACUUAAAGGAAUUGACGGAAGGGCACCACCAGCCGUGGAGCCUGCGGCUUAAUAUGACUCAACACGGGAAAACUUACCAGGCCCAGACGUAGUAAGGAUUGACAGAUUACAGUCCUUUCU
rnacentral:rRNA from 1 species